rnacentral:rRNA from 1 species
AACGAACGCUGGCGGCAGGCCUAACACAUGCAAGUCGAGCGCCCGUAGCAAUACGGGAGCGGCAGACGGGUGAGUAACACGUGGGAACGUGCCCAAAGGUACGGAACAACUCCGGGAAACUGGAGCUAAUACCGUAUGUGCCCGAAAGGGGAAAGAUUUAUCGCCUUUGGAUCGGCCCGCGUCUGAUUAGCUAGUUGGUGAGGUAAUGGCUCACCAAGGCGACGAUCAGUAGCUGGUCNGAGAGGAUGAUCAGCCACACUGGGACUGAGACACGGCCCAGACUCCUACGGGAGGCAGCAGUGGGGAAUAUUGGACAAUGGGCGCAAGCCUGAUCCAGCCAUGCCGCGUGAGUGAUGAAGGCCCUAGGGUUGUAAAGCUCUUUCGACGGGGACGAUGAUGACGGUACCCGUAUAAGAAGCCCC